rnacentral:rRNA from 1 species
CCUACGGGGGGCUGCAGUUUCGAAUCAUUCACAAUGGGCGAAAGCCUGAUGGUGCGACGCCGCGUGAGGGAUGAAGGCCUUCGGGUUGUAAACCUCUGUCACCGGGGAAGAAACGCUUCAAGUUAAUAGCUUGAAGCCUGACUUAACCCGGAGAGGAAGCAGUGGCUAACUCUGUGCCAGCAGCCGCGGUAAUACAGAGACUGCAAGCGUUAUUCGGAUUCACUGGGCGCCAAGUGUGUGCAGGGGGCCAGCCCGGGGCUUAACCCCGGAAUUGAACCUCAAACUACAUGGGUAGAGCAUUGGAGAGGGUAGCGGAAUUCACGGUGUAGCAGUGAAAUGCGUAGAUAUCGUGAGGAACACCAGAGGCGAAGGCGGCUACCUGGACAAUUGCUGACGCUCAGGCACGAAAGCGUGGGGAGCAAAAGGGAUUAGAUACCCCUGUAGUC